rnacentral:lncRNA from 1 species
AGUCAUUUUCUUACAAAUACACAUAAAACUAGGAAUCUGGAUAGUGGAGACCAUAUAUUGAAUUUGAUAUGCAAUAGUGAACUCUUCCAUAGUUGGAUGGAAAUUUGGGAAGCAUUAGUGGGGAAUGUUGUGAAAGAAAAGGAGCAAUGACACAACAAUAUGUCCUCAAAAUCAUGAGGGAUGUACUACAUGCGUUCCAAAUUAAAUUAUUGUUCAAUUUAGCUUUGU